GUGCUCAUUUCGACAGCACGUACACUAAAACUGGAACAAUACAGAGCAGGUUAGCAUCGUCUGUGCAUAAGGAUGACACUAGAAAGUUAAUAACAAACCUCGGACUA